GAUGAACGCUGGCGGCGUGCCUAAUACAUGCAAGUCGAGCGAACGGACGAGAAGCUUGCUUCUCUGAUGUUAGCGGCGGACGGGUGAGUAACACGUGGAUAACCUACCUAUAAGACUGGGAUAACUUCGGGAAACCGGAGCUAAUACCGGAUAAUAUUUUGAACCGCAUGGUUCAAAAGUGAAAGACGGUCUUGCUGUCACUUAUAGAUGGAUCCGCGCUGCAUUAGCUAGUUGGUAAGGUAACGGCUUACCAAGGCAACGAAGCAUAGCCGACCUGAGAGGGUGACCGGCCACACUGGAACUGAGACACGCUCCAGACUCCUACGGGAGGCAGCAGUAGGGAAUCUUCCGCAAUGGGCGAAAGCCUGACGGAGCAACGCCGCGUGAGUGAUGAAGGUCUUCGGAUCGUAAAACUCUGUUAUUAGGGAAGAACAUAUGUGUAAGUAACUGUGCACAUCUUGACGGUACCUAAUCAGAAAGCCACGGCUAACUACGUG
rnacentral:rRNA from 1 species